rnacentral:rRNA from 1 species
GAUGAAUGCUGGCGGCGUGCCUAACACAUGCAAGUCGAGCGGCAGCGCGAGGAGUUUACUCCUUGGCGGCGAGCGGCGGACGGCUGAGUAACGCGUGGGAACGUGCCCCAAAGUGAGGAAUAACUGCCCGAAAGGGUGGCUAAUACCGCAUAUGAUCUUCGGAUUAAAGUCUUCGGACGCUUUGGGAGCGGCCCGCGUCGGAUUAGGUUGUUGGUGAGGUAAUGGCUCACCAAGCCGACGAUCCGUAGCUGGUCUGAGAGGAUGAUCAGCCAGACUGGGACUGAGACACGGCCAAGACUCCUACGGGAGGCAGCAGUGAGGAAUCUUCCACAAUGGGCGAAAGUCUGAUGGAGCAACGCCGCGUGAAGGAUGAAGGCCCUCGGGUUGUAAACUUCUUUUAUAAGUGAAGAAUAUGACGGUAACUUAUGAAUAAGCACCGGCUAACUACGUGCCAGCCGCCGCCGUAA